UGUGGAGUGGAGGAUUGUGGAGCAUACUUCGUUAAAAGAUGAGGAGGAAGAAGAUGAGGAAGAUGAUGAGGACGAGGGGAAAUUGAAAGAGAGUAAUAUAAGAUGGAUUGUGAACAAAGGAUUGGGGUUGGGGAAGAAGGUUAUGAUUACAGGUAUUGUAAUCUCUUCUGCUCCAGUGGUUCUUCCUCCGCUUAUUGUUAUUUCUGCUCUCGGAUUUGCAUCUUCGGUUCCUUUUGGUCUUGCUUUUGCUAGUUAUACUUGUAUUGAGAAGCUUAUGAAUACGUUGCUUCCGAGGUCAGAGCCACCUCUACUGUUGGAGUAUGGGGAUAUGUAUGAAGAUGAUGAACAAGUAGGAGGGAAAGGUCCUGGUUUUGGUGGAGAAAUGAGGAUGGAAGAGGAGGAAAAGAAAGAAAUGGAGGAUGUAAAAGAAGGGGUUCAAAUGAGAAUUGAGUUGGAGAGCGGUGGAUACGAGGGAGGACAGACUCCUGUUGAAGAUGAAGAUGUUGGCAGAGCGGAGAAAGAAAGAGAGAUAAAUGUAGAUGAGAAUGUUAAAGAAGAAGGAUACGAAGAAGAUGUGGGUGAAUACUUGGAAGGAGAGAAUGAGGGACCAUCGAAGGAGGAGAAUUUAGAAACCGAACGAGCUAGAGAAGCAGAAAAUUGGGAAUUUGAUGAAAAGAUUAAGGUAACUGAGGGUUUGGAUCUGGUCGCCAAAGAAGCCAGGGGAGAAAAUGAGGGCGAAAAAGACCUUACUUUAACACCAGGUCUGCCAGAUAAGAAUUUUGUUGAAGUAUAUGUAGGUGAUGGAGUGAAGGAAGAUUCAUUAGGGAGUUCAGGUGUACUUGAGGGAAAUGAGGAUAGAAAGGUUACGCGUCCUGAAAUCAUAGAGAAGCCAUUGGUAAGCAAGGAUGAGAGGGUAGAUAGUCUUGUGAGAGAGCUUCAAGGAACAAAAACUGGAGGAGGACCUGAGGUUACUUCGGAAGAAAACGUGAUAAUAGAAGUAACAAGGAAACCAAAUGUCAGCAAAAGCUCAAAGAAACACCACAAAAAGAAGAAAGCAAGUGAAAGUAAAGAUGUUGCAAUAUCAGAGAAAGGGGAGGGGUUGAGCAACAAGCAGCAGGAAGACACUGAUGUGAAAAUCAUAGGGAAAAAGGAAGAGGUAAAGGAUGAAGUUAAGGUGGAGCAUGACGAGAAGCAUUUACGGGUGAAAAGAGAGACCAAAGAAGGAAGAGACGAGGUCAACCAAAGUGGUGUUUCCAAGAAGGCCAAGAAAGUUGCUGAGAUGGACAGAACACUGCCCGGAAGCAGAGAUGCAGGAAUUAGCAAGGAUGGUGGGCAAGCUGCGAACUCGACCAAGGAUCCUAAAGGAGCAUCCAAUGGCAAGCAUGUUGCAAAAGAUGCUUUGCGUCCACUGGAAGGCAAGGAUAACCUGGUAGCUGCAAAAGAGGUUCAAAGGAAGGCACCUGAUGACCGCGGGAACCUUCCGUCUGAAAGAAAAGGGAACACUGAUCGAAAGGAAAAUGCCUAUGCCGGUGGUGUUGAUCAGAUUUCUGGAAGAGCAGGGAUUCCAGAGGCCAAACCUGUCAAGUGAGGAGAAGAUAUGGGAGAAGAUGAACGCAAUGAGAACAAUUGUGGGAUACACAGCAGCCACCCAACCUUUGUUGGUCGAUGAACUUAAGGCACUGUACAUCUUUACUGGAGUUGAGCCUCCAUCUAUGUUCAGUAACCCGUCCACUUUGGAAGAAGUGAAUGACAAGCUUCAGUUUCUUAUGUCGAUUGUGGGAAUAAAGUGAAGUGUUAGUACUUUGUUUGGUCUGUAUUUUCUUGUUGUCUCCUUUUGUGUUGUUUGUCAAAUUUUAGCUUGAUACUGGAUUUGUGUAUGCUUAUGCUAGAAAUUGCAAGUUUUGUUGUAAAAUCACAGCUUGAAUGUUUCACAGAGUUUGAAGUCCUUUUG
rnacentral:misc_RNA from 1 species